rnacentral:tRNA from 1 species
AAGACAUUAGUAAAAAUAUUACACCACUUUGUCAAGGUGGAAUUACAAGUUAAAAUCUUGUAUGCCUUA